AAUCAACGCUGGCGGCGUGCCUCAGACAUGCAAGUCGAACGCGAAAUUUCCCUUCGGGGAGAAAGUAGAGUGGCGCACGGGUGAGUAACACGUAGGUAAUUUGCCUUUGGGUGGGGAAUAACUCAGGGAAACUUGAGCUAAUACCGCAUAAUGCAGCGGCUCGACAUCGAGACAGUUGUUAAAGCGGGGGAUCGCAAGACCUCGCACCUAAAGAGAAGCCUGCGGCAGAUUAGCUAGUUGGUAAGGUAAUGGCUUACCAAGGCUGCGAUCUGUAACCGGCCUGAGAGGGCGGUCGGUCACACU
rnacentral:rRNA from 1 species